GGGCCGGUCGUCUAGCUUGGUCUAGGAUGCGAGCCUGGGGCGCUCGUGAUCCGGGGUUCAAAUCCCCGCCGGCCCA
rnacentral:tRNA from 1 species